rnacentral:rRNA from 1 species
UCGAGGAUCAUUCGCAAUGGGCGAAAGCCUGACGAUGCGACGCCGUGUGAGCGAUGAAGGCCUUCGGGUUGUAAAGCUCUUUCGCUUGGGAACAAGAGAGUGCAGUGAAUAGCUGUGCGAUUUGAGGGUACCAGGUAAAGAAGCACCGGCUAACUCCGUGCCAGCAGCUGCGGUAAUACGGAGGGUGCAAGCAUUAAUCGGAUUUAUUGGGCGUAAAGGGCGCGUAGGCGGGUUUGUAAGUCAGAUGUGAAAUUCCGAAGCUCAACUUCGGGACUGCAUUUGAAACUGCGAAUCUGGAGGGAUGGCGGAGAAAAUGGAAUUCCACAAGUAGCGGUGAAAUGCGUAGAUAUGUGGAAGAACACCGGUGGCGAAAGCGGUUUUCUAGCUAUUACCUGACGCUAAAGCGCGAGAGCAAGGGGAGCAAACAGGAUUAGAUACCCCCGUAGUCC